UCAAGAGGUGAAUGUGGCAUUGGAAAGUGGCUGUGACAGCCCAUUGCAAGGGCAAAGCCCCGUGCGAGUCACGGGGAAAGGGAUCCAGACUCGAACCCUGCGAGUCACAGCGACAGCAAGGAGCUGAAAUAGGAGAAAAGCGGCCCCGACCCCGCGGUGUCCCGGGAGGGCGGCGCUCACCGGGCCGGGACCCUCAGCACCCGCCUGGGCCCUCCCGGGAGCUCCGGCCGGCGAUGGAGCCGCUCCGUGCCCCUCCUCUCCACGACAGAGCCACUCGGGGCUCCUCUGCUCGGCGAUGGAGCCGCUCCGUGCCCCUCCUCUCCACGACAGAGCCACUCGGGGCUCCUCUGCUCGGCGAUGGAGCCGCUCCCGGGGAGCUCCGCCAGGCGAUUGAGCCGCUCCGGGCUCCUCUGCUGGGCGAUGGAGCCGCUCCGUGCCCCUCCUCUCCACGAUAGAGCGACUCCGGGCUCCUCUGCUCGGCGACGGAGCCGCUCCGUGCCCCUCCUCUCCACGACAGAGCGACUCCGGGCUCCUCUGCUCGGCGAUGGAGCCGCUCUCGCUGCCCCGCUCGAAAUGAGGAUUUUGACCAGCCUGUCCCACUCCCAAAGCAGAAAAUUCCCAACUUACUGGAAGGAAAAUGGGAUGAGCUCUGUCCAGGGAAUGCUGAAAAGAACCAGGGAUAAUUCCACUUCCAGCAGAGGAAGGAGCAGCUUCUCUCAGGAAACCCCUUUCCUCCUCUCUUAUUCUUCUUAUAAGCUUAUUCUUCUUCUCAAAUCCUAAAAUUCCAGGGUAGCCAGUCGAUUUUUGUUUCCUUAAAAUAAAAAUUCCUUAUUUUCCUUUAUUCAUAUUUCCUAUUUUCCUAUUAUUCCUUUAUUUCCUUAGAAUAAAAAUUCCUACCUGGCACA